rnacentral:piRNA from 1 species
UGUAACUUGCUUGAAAAGCUGGC